rnacentral:rRNA from 1 species
GACGAGGGACCCUAGCGUUGUUCGGAAUCAUUGGGCGUAAAGCGGGUGUAGGUGGCUUUGUAAGUCAGAUGUGAAAGCCCAGGGCUCAACCCUGGAAGUGCAUUUGAUACUGCGAAGCUUGAGUGCCGGAGAGGUUACUGGAAUUCCUGGUGUAGUGGUGAAAUACGUAGAUAUCAGGAGGAACAUCGGAGGCGAAGGCGGGUAACUGGCCGGACACUGACACUCAGACCCGAAAGCGUGGGGAUCAAACAGG